CAGACUGCUAGAAUGGAAGAUUUCA
rnacentral:piRNA from 1 species